GGUGGGCGGGGCAGCGCCUAUGCGCUGCGGCGCGUCAAGGGCCAGAGCGAGGCUGGCGUUGUUUAUUGUGGCCGGGGCCGCCAUCACGGUGCGAGGCCGGAGACAGGGGGAGACUGAGGCCAGGGUGGGGAGUGAGAAUCCAUCGCCAUCCGCUCCGCUGCUGGCCGACAGAAACUCGGUUGGUGCCGCACGAUUGCCGCGGCGAGUGGCGCUAUUAUCCCGGGUGGAUAUUGGAGCGGACAGGUUAUCGCUUUCAGGCGGAGGGGUUAAAAUACAGCCGGCUUUUUUCGUAGUGACGACGGAGCCGCCAGCCCGAGGGUCGCCGUGAAGAGAAGCCGCGGGAUCUCUGCAGCCGCUUCUCCUCCAUUCCAUAUAACUCCCGGUCCAGACCGAGACACCAUGGCCUGCGGAGCCACUCUCAAAAGGACUAUCGAUUUCGACCCUCUGCUCAGCCCCUCGUCCCAAUCCCCGAAGAGGAGGCGCUGCACCCCGCUCAGCUCGGCCGCUUCCCCGCAGAAAUACCUGAAAAUGGAGCCAUCUCCCUUCCGGGAGGUCACCCCCCGCCUCACCACAGAACAAAUUCUGUACAACAUAAAACAGGAGUACAAACGCAUUCAGAAAAGGAGGCAUUUAGAAAGUUUCCUGCAUCAGACGGAGGGAAGUUGUUCAAGUGAUACACAAUCUCAUAUUCCAAUUUUAAAUGGACCAGCUUUGCAAGGUACUUCAUCUGGAUCAUUGUCACCACAGUCGAAGAAAGACCAGCCACUGUUCACUUUGAGGCAAGUUGGGAUCAUCUGUGAACGCCUGAUUAAAGAGCGAGAAGAGAAGAUCCGUGAAGAGUAUGAAGAAAUAUUGGAUACAAAGCUGGCAGGCUUGUGUGUGCCACAUCCUUGACUGAGAGGACAAGAUCUUCCAGUCUCGAAUCAGCAGCAGCUAGUUGCCUUGAAUGUGGCCUGAGAUGUGUCUUGAAUUGCCCCAUGUUUCUGUGGAGUGCCCUUUUCCUUUUGAACACUGCAAGUUGGCUGUUUCUCUGAGACUUGUAGCAGUGCCAUAUUAACCACCUGUGAGCACAGGGUGUUUCCAGCUUGUCAGUGGCAACCACUUUUCUGCAGCAUAUGUUUAUUGGAGUGCUCCCUGAUGUGUCAUCACCUAAUUGGACCUUUGCUACCUGUACUUACAUACCAGUGGCUCCCUGUUAAAAAUUUUGCUGUAUUGUUAAAAUCUGAAAAGCUUUGUCCUUUAAUUUUAAUAACUUCAAAGGAGCAGUGCUGGUAUUCCAGAAUUUGCCCUUUGCAUAUAAUUUCAGCAUUGUAUCUUAAAUGUCAGAUUUUUAGAAGAAUCAGUCCAGUAUGGUUUUGGUAAUGAGCCUUUUUUUGCAAACUUUGGACUUCUAGCUACAAAGGCAGAAGAGGGGAACCAUCAAUCUACUUUUUUAUUAUUAUUACCUGUGUAAGUGUUCUUAAAUUUUCUCAAGCUGGAUUUGGAGGCUUUUUGUUGCCUGGUUUUUAGAACCAAUUCAUAUUGACUGAAUAUGGAGGUUCACUAUCUGAACAAGGUGAAAUGUGGCUUCCUUGUUUUAAUGUGAUUUAGUAUUUUCAUUUAAACUGAUUAGUGAAGCAUUAUUCAAUCUAGACAUAAAUGUUCUGAAGAAUCCAAACCAUUGAACUUUGAGUUGCAGUAGCUUGAUCUGUUUUCCUGACAGCCAACAGCGGAGUGCCUACAUUUUGAUGUUGUUUCCAUUUUGGAUAAUUAACUAUGUUAAUAGUAGAUAUGUUAAUCAGAAUGUUGCUUUCCAAAAACUGGAUGCUAGGAUACAAAUUUGACUUUUUUUAAACCUGAGAUUCUUAAUUUCUAAUAAGCUUAUUACUGUGGUGAUUCAAGUGAAUUUUGAAAAUUACUUGCAAAAAAAACUAGGUCUGGUUAACCAUUAAACUACAGAUGUCCAAGAAAACUGAUAGUGAAUAUGCUUCCAAGAGAGCAGCCAUGAAGGUGCAGUGACUGCAGGCCUGUGAUUAAAAUAGCUGGAGGGCAAAGGUUUGCAAAGGCUCAUUGUGCACUACAACACUUCUGCAGGCAAAAAGUCAGUUUGAAUGUUGAAUUAUGAGAUUAAUUAUCCCAACUGUAGGGUAUGAGAUAUUGCCUGCAUGUAGCUGUGGUCUUGCCUGUUAAAUGAAAGGCUCAGAAGGGAGUUUUUUUUGAAGGGGAGAAAGAGGGGUUUGGAAGGGGUAACUGAAGCUUCAUAGUAAUUUUUUUGAGAAAUAGUAAAUUUUAUUUAUUCUAGCAGUCUUUCAAAGUUUAUUUCUGCAUUUUGAUGUACCAUUAUUUUACUGUUCUUUGUAGUGUAAUGGAAUUUAGUUGACAAUAAAAAAAAAACGUUUA